CCUCCAGCAGUGGCACAAUUAGCACCUGCCCGGUGCCAACCACUGGGGAUACAGCACACAGCAAGGUACACAGCGCCUGCUGCUGGAGGAAGACUGGCCAUGAGCCAGCAGCCCAACAAACCAGAUGACAUCAGAUCAGUGCUGCUGGGGUCAGGGGGACACAGAGCAGUGGAGUUCCAGGUAUAAGGGACCCCGAAUAGGUGCCUCUGAGGAGAAGGCACCAGAGCCAAGGCCCAAAGGCAGGGGAAGCCUGUUCGCCUCUGCCUAUGUGAGCAUGGAUGUGGGGGCCCUGUCUCCUAUCUCAUCCCCAUGGUCACUGCAGAGGAGACACAUGCCUCUUUGCUCCUUGGCAUGCUUCGUCCUGUUCCAAGUCAGCAUUUUUUAGACUUAAUAAAACCAACCCAUGUAAAAAGGCAAACGGCCCCUCUGGGCUGGCCAGACAGCAGGUGUCCCUUAAGCCUGGAAUUCCUGCACUCUGUGCCCCAUGCAGCCUCUUCCCCCAAUUUUAGAAAUUUCUGCAGCUGCCCACCUGCUACCCCACAAAGCCUGAAGGGCUUAAGUUUCUGUUUCUGGAAGGGAUAGCUGCAGCCCCUGGAGGCAGACUUGGGGGAGGGAGAGACUUGGGGGCCAUACUCAGGACUUCCUCUGUCUUCAGCAUCUGCAGCUUCUCAGAAGGCCAACCCUCCCCUCUCUCACCCUCCUGGCUGAGAACCUAACCUGCUUCCCCAGGUCCCCCAUGGGAAAGGACCCCCUUUCCCCUUUCCUGAAGGGGGCCAGCCCCCCCACACCUGUGGGUAUUUCUCGUCAGGUGGGACGAGACUGAGAAAAGAAAUAAGACACAAAGUAUAGAGAAAGAACAGUGGGCCCAGGGGACCGGCGCUCAGCAUAUGGAGGACCCGCGCCGGCACUGGUCUCUGAGUUCCCUCAGUAUUUAUUGAUUACUAUUUCUACUAUUUCAGUGAGGGGGAUGUGGCAGGACUAUAGGGUAAUGGUGGGGAGAGGGUCAGCAGGAAAACAUGUGAGCAAAGGACUCUGUGUCAUAAAUCAGUUUAAGGAAAGGUGCUGUGGCUCGAUGUGCACGUAGGCCAGAUUUAUGUUUGACUUUACACAAACCUCUCAGCGCAGUAAAGAGCAGUAUUGCCACCAGCAUGUCUCAUCUCCAGCCAUAAGGCGGUUUUCUCCUAUCUCAGUAAAUAGAAUGUACGAUCGGGUUUUACACCAAGACAUUCCAUUCCCAGGGAGGAGCAGGAGACAGAUGCCUUCCUCUUAUCUCAACUGCAAAGAGGCCUUCCUCUUUCACUAAUCCUCCUCAGCACAGACCCUUUACGGGUGUCGGGCUGGGGGACGGUCAGGUCUUUCCCUUGCCACGAGGCCAUAUCUCAGGCUGUCUCACUGGAGGGAAACCUUGGACAAUACCCAGGCUUUCUUAGGCAGAGGUCCCUGGGGCCUUCCACAGUGUAUUGUGUCCCUAGGUACUUGAGACUGGAGAAUGGCGAUGGCUUUUACCAAGCACACUGCCUGCAAACACAUUUUUAACACAGCAUACCCUGCACAGCCCUAAAUCCAUUAAACCUUGAGUCAACACAGCACAUGUUUUUGCGAGCACAGGGCUGGGGCUAGGGUUACAGAUUAACAGCAUCUCAAGGCAGAAGAUUUUUCUUAGUACAGAACAAAAUGGAGUUUCUUAUGUCUACUUCUUUCUACACAGACACAGUAGCAGUCUGAUCUCUUUCUUUCCCCUACACUUUCCUUCCACAGGCAAGGUCAGAACUGCAGAUAUGAGGUCCAGAGGGCAGGGCUGCCUACAGCAAGCAGUGAGCCUGGCACUGCGGCGGCUCCGGCCUGGGGCCGCUGGCAACCCUCAGCUUUCUGAGGUGGGUGUUUUUGUCCCCAGUGUGCAGAAAGAAGAUCAUUUUAUUUUUGUUUUUAUUCUGUUGAGACAGGGAUCUUGCUGUGUUGGCCAGGCUGGCCUCAAUGUGCAGAUAGAUCAGAAGUUGGGUGACAGAGGUGUCCAGUCAUGGGCCCAGCAAUCCUUCCACCGUCCCAGAGCGCUGGCCCUGUGCUAGCCUGCCUGGGGCAGACCGACAGUGUAGGGGGACCAGGCAGCUGUGACGGGGACAGCAGCAGCAGAUAACAGUGGGGAGGUGGCCUUCAGACCCAAAUGUCAGGGUGAGACCCCCCAGGCAGGGGCUGAUUGGGAGUCUUAGUGGCCCCCAGAGCAGGUGCACAAGGGGAGGGGCUUGGAAGGUGCCAGCCUCCCCUCCAGCUGACCUCCCCUGUCCACAGCCCCUGCUCUCCCCGGGGCCCACAGGGGCUGCUUUGGCAGCAUCCAGGCAGGAGGCUGCAUGACGUUACCAGGCCAGUGUUUGGUCCAGGUUCCUCAGAAAUCACACCUGGUUACACAAGAACCACUGGGCCUGGAGGGGGCUUCAAAGGAGGCCCAGGUCUUUUAUCCACAGAACAUGACCCAGUUCAGCAGGUCAGGCACAGGACAGACUCCAGGCAGGGCACUGGACUCUAUCCUUGUAGUCUGCUCCUCUGCAGAGUGCAGCCGGAGGCAGCAUUGCUUCUUCCCAGUGCCCUGCCCCUGAGUUCAGCAGAGCCCGAAGAGGAAGUGGGCUGAGGUCAGGAGAGGGACAGGGGCUGACUGGGGUUCACAGAGCACAGUGGGGUAGGAGGCUGUGCUGCUCAGAGGGGAGGGACUGCAGUCACGUGGUCCCUGCCAGGGAUUUGGGCAGAGCAGCCUCCCCAGUGGGCAUCCUUCCUGCCUGUUCCCACCUUUCUUCAAAUCGGCCAUUGGUUCUCUGAAGCCGGUUUACUGGCUUUAAUUCUUAAUUAAGAGAUAGGGUCUUGCUAUGUUGUCCAGGCGGAACUCCAACUCCUGGCCUCAAGCAGUCUUCCCUCCUCAGCCUCCUCAGUGCUGAGCUUUGUGGGUUUAUUAGCUUUAAAUCCUAAUCCCACUUUGACCUCACUGGCUGUGACUUCAGGCAACAAACUCUCUGAGUUUCAGUUUCCCCAUCUGUAAAGUGUUCCCUCCCUCCUAGGAUCCUGGGGAGAAUUCAAUGAGAUGGCACAGCUGGGUAUAUACAGCAUCAGCUUUUGUUAGGGGAGCCCCAAUACAAACUCUGCACAGGGAAUCAUCAGCUGAGGUAGGGGGUGUUGGUUCUGCUUGAGGACUCAGGCUGGGGACUGGGGCAGGCUCAGAUGGAGCAGGUGGGCAGGGCUGAGGAGGCUGCCUGGAGGAAGGGGCACUGGAGGAGUUGACCAGCCAGUAAUAGACAGACAGGCAAGAGGGAAGUCGGAACCAAGGGAAACCACCGCCGAGUCACCAAGUCCUACCUUAGGCCCUUAUAGGCACCCGGCCCUGACUCCACACCAACCACAGCUGAGAGGCUGUGGAAGAGAAACCCAAGAGAAGUGGAAAGUCAGAAUCCCCCAGGGGAGAAAUUAGGGGGUGACUCAGGUGGGUGCAUCAUCAAGGGAGAGAAGCAUCCGCUGGAAUACAGGUUGGGGAGCUGUGGAUGGGGCUGGGUUGUUUCAACGUUGAGAGUAGAAGGCAGGGAGGCCAUAAGGCAGAAGUAGAGGCAGCUGGUGGCCAGCAUGGUGGCCCCACAGGGACAGGAACCCACAGAGAGUGGGAGGCCACGGAAGGCCUCUCACCAGCUUACUCCUGGGGGCUCUCGGCCACAGCUAGGGCAGGGACACAGAGGGGCUGAGGUUGGACCCCUAGGUUUCCAUGAUGGACCCUGAGAAGCCAAUGCAAGGGCCACAAACACCCUGGCCUGGCCUGCCCCAGACGCAAGAGUUGAGAGUGCUCUACGGGCUGCCAGGGCUCCAGAGGGGAGCUCGCUCUGCAGGAGCCUGGCCACCUCAUUUUACCAGGCUGGACUGGCUGAGUGACUGGGGAGGGUGCCCUAGGGUCAUUGCUAACUGGCUUGGGUUCGGGCGCAAGCUAAACCCUAGGCUGGGAAGGGGGGUCUCUGUUCCUUUCCAAGCUCUGGUCCUGAGAGCUAAGAGCUGGAGGAAGAAAAUCCGUGUCCCCUGCCCCCGCUCCCCUGCACACACACUCCACAGAGGAGCCAGCUGGGAAUGGUGUUGCUGAGACAGAACACCACUCCCGCUUCCCUUUUCUACCCAUCUUCCAGCAGCACCUCCUCCAGUCUCCUGCUCAAGCUCCUCACCAGACCCAAAAGUGGGCCCAAGUCAUCCAGUUCUCAUUAUGCCUUGGUUCCCAGGAGGGGACACAGGACCCCCACUCCCUCCUAGAAGCAGCUCUGCACUCAGGAGAACGUGUCCCCGUCGGGGGAGGCAAGGCCUGGGCGGAAGGCCACUUCUGCAGACUUUUGCAGGCCCCCAUCUGCUGCACAGAGCUCUGGCUGACCCUAGCCCAAGCCUUCUGUAACCGCCCCUUGACCUGCGAUUCCUUUUCUGGAAUUCAUCUUAGGGCCCAGUCAGGGGUGUUCCCAGAGCAGUCUGCAAUAACAAAAUGUCUAUGGCAAAGUGUCCUCAUAGAGGACUGGGCAGUGAGCCACGGGCCAGCCCUCUGGUGAACCCCCAGAGGCUGUCAAAGGGGUCCGGGACAGCAGUGACAGCCAGGCCUUGGCUGCUGCCGCCCUUCAAAUGUGCCUGGGUGCGACGGCAACCCGCGGCCGGCGUGGCGGGGGGACCUUUUGUUUGUUUGUUAUUUGUAGAGAUGGUGGGGUCUCACUACGUUUCCCGGGCUGGUCUCGAACUCUUCAGCUCAGAAGAACCUCCCGCCUCGGCCUCCCAAAGCGCGGGAUCACCGGCGAGAGCCACCGCGCCGGCCGGCCGCCAUAUGGAUUUUGUCCAGUCUUUCGAUCUUCCAGCGACCAGCAAGUGUAAACAGAGCAGCUCACAUGAGGGAAGAAGUCGCCCAGGAAACGUCCUCUGGGAGGGGCGGGAAGGGCAGCCUGGCGUUCCCAGGAUCCCGUGCGCGGAGGGGGCGAGGCGGGGCGCGACGUCAUCAGCGGGCGCGGAGCCGGAAGUGUUGUGGCCGCCGCCGCCGCGCGUCGCGGAGGCACGUGUGGAGCCCCGGCAGCGGGAGCGUCGCAGGUCCUUGGCCCUUGCCAGACAUUAGCACCAUGAGCUUCGUGGCAUAUGAGGAGCUGAUCAAGGAGGGUGACACGGCCAUCCUGUCACUGGGUCAUGGUGCAAUGGUGGCAGUGCGUGUGCAGCGUGGGGCACAGACCCAGACCCGGCAUGGUGUCCUGCGGCACUCAGUUGACCUUAUCGGCCGCCCCUUCGGCUCCAAGGUGACGUGCGGCCGAGGUGGCUGGGUGUAUGUGCUGCACCCCACGCCCGAGCUCUGGACGCUGAACCUGCCGCACCGCACGCAGAUCCUCUACUCCACAGACAUCGCCCUCAUCACCAUGAUGUUGGAGCUUCGGCCCGGCUCUGUGGUCUGUGAGUCUGGCACCGGCAGUGGCUCUGUGUCCCACGCCAUCAUCCGCACCAUUGCACCCACGGGCCACCUGCACACGGUGGAGUUCCACCAGCAGCGGGCAGAGAAGGCCCGGGAGGAGUUCCAGGAGCACCGUGUGGGCCGCUGGGUGACUGUGCGCACCCAGGACGUGUGCUGCAGUGGCUUUGGCGUGAGCCACGUGGCCGACGCCGUCUUCCUGGACAUCCCGUCACCCUGGGAGGCCGUGGGCCACGCCUGGGACGCCCUCAAGGUCGAAGGCGGGCGCUUCUGCUCCUUCUCGCCGUGCAUCGAGCAGGUGCAACGCACGUGCCAGGCACUGGCAGCAUGCGGCUUCUCAGAGCUGAGCACCCUGGAGGUGCUGCCACAGGUCUACAACGUGCGCACUGUCAGCCUGCCACCGCCCGACCUGGGCACGGGCACAGAUGGCCCUGCCGGCUCUGACACCAGCCCCUUCCGCAGCGGCACGCCCAUGAAGGAGGCCGUGGGCCACACCGGCUACCUGACCUUCGCCACCAAGACCCCAGGCUAGGGGGCCACUGCCCAGGGCACCAGGGAGCUGGGAGCACCGAAGGGCUGGGCAGGGAGGCCAGAGGCACGUUAUAUGGUCAGCGAUGCCUGCCAGACACAGACGGUGGGGCGGGGCUUGGGGGCCUCCUGGGUGGCCAGAGUGGGACGGCAGCAAGGGCGGCUGUGAUGGAGGAGCAGUGCUGGGGCUGGGCCUCAGCCAUUCCUGUCCAGCCCUGCGGCCCAUCCCAGCUGCUGUUUGUUGCCAAUAUGAAGUAUCCACUGCCACAGCCUCCCCUGGGUGUUGAAGCCAAAGGGUGCAGGUGGGGGAGUCUGACCCCCUCCCAGGUGGGCCUAAGCAGGAGGGGGUGGAGGAGGGAGGGGGCAUUGUCCCUGAGGCCACGCUGCAUCUGACCCCUGGGCCCCCACGGCCCUGGCUGCCCCACGGGGCCUGAGACCAUCUUGUGCUUCUCCAGUCCCCGGGCCGAGGCUCCAGCCUUGGCCAGAAGCUGGGGUGAGCUGACCCAGAAUCCCUGCCCUGCUCUCCCCAGCCCUAGGAGACCAGGCCAGCCCAGGAACCAGGGAGGUGACCCUGCUCUCUGGCCUCCAGGCUGAUGUCACAGCACUGGGCUCAGCCCAGGCCUGCGUCCACUCAUGUCCAAGAGGCGGGGCAUCCCCCACCCAGCCAGAGCCCCUUGACAUGGGCUGCACUCGCUGAGGCCAGGCAGCGCUGCGGAGAGGAGCGGCAGAGUGGGUUGUCUGCCGCAGGCGACCAGCAUGUUCCCCAGACCAUCUAAUGCCCAGGCGGGAGAGUCCUGCACACCAUGGCCUGAAGGAGUCCCCAUAGCAGAGGAGCAGAAAGAAGGCAAGCAGCACCCCAGUUCCGUGAUGGGAAGCCUGACUUUCAGAGGUAGGGCUGAGCCCAUGGCCGUGAGUGACCGAUGAGCAGGCCCAGAUGGUCAGCUUGAGUCAGCAGCACGGGCUCGUCAUGGGGCAAGGAUUCACCGGAAAUGCCCUGCCUGGCCCAGUGUGUACUCGCCUGGGGCCCUCAGAUUUUCCCUGGAAAUUCCUCCCCCGUCGCCCUGCUGUCCUGCACUGAGACAGUGGCACAUGACUCCCGGCUGCCCAAGCCCUGGAAGGUCCCAGACCCUGGCCCUGACUCACCUGCUUGGAGGGUCCCAGUCCUGGGUACUGCCCUAGAGCCGAGAUUAGAGUAGCCCUCCCUCAGGAAGCCCCGGGGUGUCAGCUGCUCCUGGGCCUCAGUCUGCCCGACCCAUGCCUGCCUCAAGGCCCAGCCCCUCACCCAAGAGCCCCAGAGGCCUGGGCCCGACCUGGGCUGCACCGGUGGGGACCAGGGCAGGGUUUCUGGGUGGGUGGAGGGCAGCAGGCCGGUGGGGGCACACCCUGUCUAGCAGAAUGUGAUGAGGCAGGGUUGCUCCUGAGGGCCCAAGAGGCCCUCACCCCUGCAGUCUAGGUCUGGGGCUGUCCCCCCAACUCCCCCUUGUCUGCCUCCAUUGCGGCUUUGCUCUCUCCACCCAUAACCUCUGGGCCAGAAGAUGGAGGGUAGGUGGGCUGCCAGGGGACCCGAGUCCCCCAACAGUCCACUGCACAGGUAGGGAAACUGAGGCACAGAGAUGCAACUCCGGAAUCCUGGCCAUAAGUGGUUCCCCAGUGCAUGACCCUAGAGGGCAGAGAGUGUUCAGGCAGUCCUGGAAGUUUCCUCAGAAAAGGAGACACCUGUGCAGGUAGACAUUGGAGAAGGACUGGCAAGUCGUGCAGGUGGGGUGGGUGGUGCCCCAGAAGCAGUGGAUGGAGAGGGUGCACCUUCAGCCUCUGGGCUGGCAAGUGCCAUUUCCAAAGCUGCUCUAAGCAGAGUGGGCACUGAACUCAGUGCCCCCACAGCCCCAGGGCUGUUGGGCUCGCACGCCAGCCUGGAGGGGCGUUGAGCGAGAGGGUCCCCUGAGAGGGGCCUGGCUCCUGAUACCCUCAGGAGGGAGUGAGCAACUGCCGGGCCUCGCGCCCUGUCCUCACCAGCCACAGAGGGUGGGCGCUGUCACCAGCAUGCGUGGGUUGAGUGCCUCCCACGUGCCAGCCCGUGCCCAUUCAGGAUGCCCAGGCCUGCCCUUCGGGGCUCCCAGGAGCCAGACCCAGAUCUGGGCACACAGUGCAGAGUGAGCUGUGGCUGCGGGAGCAGCGGUGGCCUGGACCGUGUGUGUGUGGCAGGUUUGGGUCGGUGUGGAGUGGGGGAGUGGACAGGCCUUUCUGUCCCGGGAGCUCGGCGCACUGCCCGCUCCUGGACACUGGAACUGAGCCUCGAGAGAAGUCGCUUCCCAAGGUGGCCAACGGGUUGGCAGCAGACAGGCUGGGUGCCGGGUGUGUGGACCCCGGAGCCAGCGAGUUGGGCCCUGCCCCCAGUGGGUCAUCAGUGAGCAAGGAGGGGUACAGUGGGGCCAGCCUGCUGCCCUGCCCCAGCAGUGGCCUUGCCAGCCCAUGGGCCCUCCCCACGCGGAGCCUCUGUGCCCAGGGGAGCCUGCGUGGCCCAGCCCGGCAGCCAGGACGAGGGCGUUUCAAAGUCAGGCCGCCUCCGAAGCAGUGGCGUUGGCGGGAGGGAAUAACUCGCUCCCACCAGGCUGAGAAUAGCUCAGAAUUGGGUCACGCUCACCGAGAUCUCCGGUCACAGCCUCCAGCCUUUGACAAUAAUCAGCUUUCUCCCCGACAUCUGUCCCUUCAAAGAGGGGGCAGGCCGGUGCAGGCACUUCUAGAAGCAGCAAAGCAGAGGGGACAGGAGUGGGGAGGGGCGUCCGCACCUCCUGGCCCCUCAUGGCAGAUCCCCUCCCACCCACCCCAUGCUCCCUUCCGUGCCUCAGGUCCCACCAGCUUCCCGCGCAGGGCCAGGUAGGGGAGCAAAGCAUGGCAGUGCCCCCUGACAGAUGAGGACACCGGCUGGGGGCUGCAGGGAGGGUGGCGCCUGUGCCUGGCCCUCCGGUGCUCUGCCAGCCAUGCCCCUCAGCUCCUGAGACUUAGGGGCCUAGAAUGCCACUGCCCCAAGCCGCCCUCCUCUCGCCCCUCCCGGUCUAUCCUGGGCUCUUCUAACGUGGUUGAAGGGCAUGGGUCAGAGCAAGCCGUUUUGCCCCGCCAGGCUUUUGGGGGCUUGUUUCCCCCAGCCCAGGACUUCACCCUGUGUCUUGUUUCCUAUCCAUUUUCCCGUGUUGGGCCCUCCUCGUCCCAGAGCAGCCUUGAGAGGGCUGAGGUGGGUGGUGUCACAGGCCCUCAGAGCCUGCAUCUGUGCUGUCACCUGCGUAUGCUGCCACCAGGUGGGUGCUGAAGCCAUCCUCGUAGCAGCAUAGUAGGUGCCUCCUGCACAGAGAGAUAGAUAUGCCUACCACAUGCCAGGCACGCUGAUUUUGGUUCUUUAAUCUUUUUUUUGGAGAUGGAGUCUCGCUCUGUCACCCAGGCUGGAGUGCAGUAGCGCGAUCUGGGCUCACUGCAAGUUCCGCCUCCCGGGUUCACGCCAUUCUCCUGCCUCAGCCUCCUGAGUAGCUGGGACUACAGGUAUCCACCACCUCGCCUGGCUAAUUUUUUCUUUUUUUUUUUUUUUUUUUGUAUUUUUAAUAGAGAUGGGGUUUCACCGUGUUAGCCAGUAUGGUCUUGAUCUCCUGACCUCGAGAUCCGCCCACCUCGGCCUCCCAAAGUGCUGGGAUCACAGGUGUGAGCCGCCGCGCCCAGCCAGUUCUUUAAUCUUUAAAAACCCACAAGGCAGUUCUUCUCGUGUUCUAGGUGACACCAUUGCUAAACUUUAGCCACAGGUAUGUUCCUGAAGUGCCCGUGACACUAAGCAUCUCAAGAUGUGGCCCCUGGACCGGCCGGUCAGCGUCGUCCCCACCCCACCCCUGCUGAGCCGGAACUCCAAGGCAGGGCCCAGGGGGCCCCCUUUCCCCAAGCCUCCAGGUGGCUCUGGUACUCAAAUUUGAGAAUCACUGCUGGAAGACCCGGGAGUCUUGCAAACAUUUUUUUUUAUUUCUUAAAUAAAAACCCCCUUUAUUAACUGAAGCGGCAGCUCUCUGGCAGCUUCCUGCAAGCAGCUGGUUGAUCCUCUGAGGCUGCACUGUCAGUUGCAGCUCAGUUUCACCCGGUGUGGCUGGACUGUCUGCUUCUGAGCCCCAGACCCUGUCGCUCCCUGCUGCUCCACUGCGAAUGCCCUCGUGCUCCCAGAGAGAAACUGAGGCAGCAACAGCAGGUCGCUGUGCGCAGACCCUGUUGGGCCCCAAUUUGAAUAAACCAAAUGUCUUUUACAAAAUA